rnacentral:lncRNA from 1 species
UUCCUUCAACUACUGUCACUGCCAUUUCAGGGACUUCUAUCAGAGGUAAUUUAAGCUCAACUGCUACCCUAGCAUCCAUAAAGCUAUGGGUGCUUCCACUGUCAACCAAAAUGGUAAAUUGUUUGCUUUUGUAUUGCCCCAUAAUCCUCACAAUAGAACCUCCUUCACUUCCCUACAUUGCAUUUAGAGAGAGAGUUAUCUCCUCUGAACUUUCCACUCCUGCUUCUCCUUCCAAUGUAUCAUGCCACUCCUCUUCCAUCUCUACUUUAGGCUCCUCUCCUUGUAAGGCCAUGACAGUUUUUUGCUUGCAUUGGUGACUAGGAAAGUAUUUGUUACCCAUUUAUAACAAGAUUUAGGCUGCCUUAUUCCUCUUUGGGUUAGGGUUCUGGGUCUGUUUGGUGUUUGAUUGACUUGAGGUUUGACCACUGUUUGGAUGUAAUAUAGGAGCUGUACUAGGUAUUUUAGAGCUAGUAACAAAUUUCAUAUUAGGUGGUUUUGGAGGAUACGAGUAAUUAGGCAGUGUUUGGUUAGGUUUGGAUGAGAAGGAAUUAGUCAUACAAGUGUUUGGCUUAGAGAAAACCUGUGCUGGUUUUGAAUUAAAGGUAGUCUUCUUGGAGUAGCCUAAGAGUUGCUCUUGAAAUCUGGCAAUCUUGAAGGCAUGGGCAAGAUUAUUUGAGGAUUUAUGCAUUCUCACCAUUGGCCUAAUCUCAUCCUUCAAACCCCCAAUAAAUCCACACAGAAAAUAGUCUUCCUCUAGGUGAGGCAUGACUCUCUCCAUUCUAAUUCUUGAAUCCUCAUAAUUAUCUUGAUAUUCCCCCACACUACUCUCUUGUCUCAUCUUCAUAAAUUCUUCCACAAUAUCUUCUAACCAUUGGUCCCCAAAUCUUACACACAAUUCCCUUUCAAAAUCUUCCCAAGAAUGAGGACCUCUAUCCAAAAUCUAAUUGUGAUACCAAGCAUCAGCUCUAUCAACUAGAAAUAGGCGCGCAGUUCCCACCUUUUCACUAGAAACCUUAUAAACCUCAAAAUAUUUGACACAUUUCCUCACCCACACUCCAACCUCUCUUCCAUCAAAAGUAAUCAAUUCAAUUUUUUGGAGAUAUUUUUGCAUACUUUCACAAUCAAUUAGAGAUCCAAACACUGCUCCUGAUGAAUUGCCCCCGGCUGAGCUAGUUUCUUGCUUCUGAUUCACCAGCUCCCUUAGGGUAGGUAAAAUUCCUUUAAAUUUGGGUCAAGCCUAACUCACCCUAAAAGCUAGCUCAAAGGGAAGAAGUGCCUAUGGCCCAUAUAAGGAACACAUUACCCCUUUCCACAACCGAUGUGGAAUUCAACACACCCCCUCACGCCUAGAAUUUUACUGGUGCGUGACAUAUUUAUGGGAGGUCCAACAUCAGAUGGGGAGGCUCUGAUACCGUGUUAAAUUUGGGCCAAGCCUAACUCACCCCAAAACUAGCUCAAGGAGGAGGAGUGUCUAUGGCCCAUAUAAGGGGCACAUUACCCCUUUCCACAACCGAUGUGGGAUGCAAAACCUCCCAAUCUCUGAUUUACUCCAACAGCCUCACUCUCCUCAUUCACCACUCCUUUUCCUUUAUCAAUCAUAAUCCCAAACAAAAAGGAUCGCAAUUCUUCCAUAAUUGAAUUUCUUAUUUCCGCAUCAAUUUCGCAGCAUUUUGCAUCAUCUCCUCAUGCAACCCCUCUAGAUUCCUCCUAGAAUCCUCUUGUAUAAUUCUCAUUUAUUCCUCCAAUCUAUCAAUCUCCACAGAAUCAGCUCCCACAACUACAGAUCUAGUCAUAAUGCGCUUCUAUAGGAAUCGACACUACACCCACCUCGCAAUCUUAGUCUGAUACCAAAUGUACUAUGGCAAUCUGCUAAACAAUAUAUUAAGUAGGAUUCAAGAGAGAAGAAGAAAAAUAGAGAAGAAAGUAAGAAGAGAGAAUAGAAUGAAUAGAACUAGAAAGGAAUUGAGAUUGUAUUGUAUUAGCAACUUUCGGGAUGCCUCUCUACAAGUGUGGUUCCUCUAUAUAUUCUGUUUUUAUAACAAAAUACAACCGGAUAACAACUUCCAGCUGUUAUAACUACUUUAUGAAAAUAACCCCAAACUACCCUUAGGCUUCUCUCCAAUUCUAAUUAUUCUUUCUCUUUCUACGAUACCCAACACAUUACUACAUAGAACUCCUAUAGAAAACCAAAACUUCAAUAUCCUUUAAAUUUAGAAUGGCCAAGCUUUCUUAUUGAAUCUCUAGCAGCAACUUGACCAAACCAGAUUUUGUCAUGUGGUUAACAUACAAUAAUUCAAACUCAUCAAAAGAAUGUUCAAGUUUAAGAAGGCAAGUUGUAGCUAUAAAUAAUAAGCCAUUUCUUUAAGUGGACUCGAAGCAUGGAAGAGAGAACCAAAUCACAAAAAUGUUCAUUAAAGAGCAUCUAGCAUUUAAAAAAAAUACACUUGAUUCUGCAUAAAGCAUAUAGAGAAUUGCUUGAAGCUCAAAAAGAGUGGACAUGAUCACAGCACAAAAAGAGUAGAAUGGGUCCCAAUUCCAUAUAAAAUACAUAUAUUAUACUUAAAAGAGGAGAGAAUAGAAGGCAAAACAAAACGAGCACUUGAUUUCAUAUGAAGCAUGGAAAAGAUGGAUUUGAUCCCUCAAACUUCCAUAAUUCAAACAAGUCUUUUUAGGAAGCAAUCUUUUACUCCUACCCCUACGAUUUCCCAAUUAUCCAUAAUUCAUGGAAGUUGGUACUAGCCUAAACCUUCUUUUUCUUCCUAAAAGAGGUUAAUGGAAGAAGAGUAAUUUAACCUCUUGAUCAGAUGUACUAACAAGUUUGAGGCCUAAGUUCCCUAACAGGAUCCAUGCCAUGGUUUUGAUUAAUGGCCAUCAUUUAUAGGUUUUUCAAGGCCCUAUUACCCGUUACCUCAUUAUUUACAAGCUAAUUUUGAGUUGCAUGGGUAACAGCAGUUACCAUCAUACUUAAUAGUAAUGGCCACUUUACUGUUUAGUAAUGAUAACAACCAUUACCUUAAUAAUUCAAAUGUUUUCUUCAUUUAUUUCCUAUUUAUAAAUUUAAUGUUUUUAUUUGAUGUAUUUCUGUUUAUUAUAUAGUAGCAUAUCUUAAUUUUAUUCAAGUCUAACAACGAUCGUUGCAAACUUCUCAAAAAUUUGCUUAGUGCCUAGCUGUUCAUAUUACAUUAUGCCUGUUACAGGCUUUUCUCCGUAAACCACAACUAUAACAGUCGUAAGUGGUAGCAACAGUGAUAUAUAAACAUGAUGUAUACAUGCUUCCUUUUCUCCUGUUGAUAUUCAUAAUGAUUGGUGCACCUAUUCAUUGAUUAGUAGUCCUG